rnacentral:rRNA from 1 species
GACGAAGGUGGCGACCGUUGUUCGGAAUCACUGGGCAUAAAGAGCUCGUAGGCGGUGAGAAAAGUCGGGUGUGAAAUCCCUCGGCUCAACUGAGGAACUGCACGGGAAACUGCCUGGCUUGAGUUCGGGAGAGGGAAGCGGAAUUCCGGGUGUAGCGGUGAAAUGCGCAGAUAUCAGGAGGAACACCUAUUGCGAAGGCAGCUCGCUGGGACGUAACUGACGCUGAGACGCGAAAGCGUGGGGAGCAAACAGG